UACGUAGGGUGCAAGCGUUGUCCGGAAUUAUUGGGCGUAAAGAGCUCGUAGGCGGCUUGUCGCGUCGGCUGUGAAAACCCGGGGCUCAACCCCGGGCCUGCAGUCGAUACGGGCAGGCUAGAGUCCGGUAGGGGAGACUGGAAUUCCUGGUGUAGCGGUGGAAUGCGCAGAUAUCAGGAGGAACACCGGUGGCGAAGGCGGGUCUCUGGGCAGUAACUGACGCUGAGGAGCGAAAGCGUGGGGAGCGAACAGG
rnacentral:rRNA from 1 species